rnacentral:rRNA from 1 species
UGCCUAAUACAUGCAAGUCGAACGAACUCUGGUAUUGAUUGGUGCUUGCAUCAUGAUUUACAUUUGAGUGAGUGGCGAACUGGUGAGUAACACGUGGGAAACCUGCCCAGAAGCGGGGGAUAACACCUGGAAACAGAUGCUAAUACCGCAUAACAACUUGGACCGCAUGGUCCGAGUUUGAAAGAUGGCUUCGGCUAUCACUUUUGGAUGGUCCCGCGGCGUAUUAGCUAGAUGGUGGGGUAACGGCUCACCAUGGCAAUGAUACGUAGCCGACCUGAGAGGGUAAUCGGCCACAUUGGGACUGAGACACGGCCCAAACUCCUACGGGAGGCAGCAGUAGGGAAUCUUCCACAAUGGACGAAAGUCUGAUGGAGCAACGCCGCGUGAGUGAAGAAGGGUUUCGGCUCGUAAAACUCUGUUGUUAAAGAAGAACAUAUCUGAGAGUAACUGUUCAGGUAUUGACGGUAUUUAACCAGAAAGCCACGGCUAACUACGUGCCAGCAGCCGCGGUAAUACGUAGGUGGCAAGCGUUGUCCGGAUUUAUUGGGCGUAAAGCGAGCGCAGGCGGUUUUUUAAGUCUGAUGUGAAAGCCUUCGGCUCAACCGAAGAAGUGCAUCGGAAACUGGGAAACUUGAGUGCAGAAGAGGACAGUGGAACUCCAUGUGUAGCGGUGAAAUGCGUAGAUAUAUGGAAGAACACCAGUGGCGAAGGCGGCUGUCUGGUCUGUAACUGACGCUGAGGCUCGAAAGUAUGGGUAGCAAACAGGAUUAGAUACCCUGGUAGUCCAUACCGUAAACGAUGAAUGCUAAGUGUUGGAGGGUUUCCGCCCUUCAGUGCUGCAGCUAACGCAUUAAGCAUUCCGCCUGGGGAGUACGGCCGCAAGGCUGAAACUCAAAGGAAUUGACGGGGGCCCGCACAAGCGGUGGAGCAUGUGGUUUAAUUCGAAGCUACGCGAAGAACCUUACCAGGUCUUGACAUACUAUGCAAAUCUAAGAGAUUAGACGUUCCCUUCGGGGACAUGGAUACAGGUGGUGCAUGGUUGUCGUCAGCUCGUGUCGUGAGAUGUUGGGUUAAGUCCCGCAACGAGCGCAACCCUUAUUAUCAGUUGCCAGCAUUAAGUUGGGCACUCUGGUGAGACUGCCGGUGACAAACCGGAGGAAGGUGGGGAUGACGUCAAAUCAUCAUGCCCCUUAUGACCUGGGCUACACACGUGCUACAAUGGAUGGUACAACGAGUUGCGAACUCGCGAGAGUAAGCUAAUCUCUUAAAGCCAUUCUCAGUUCGGAUUGUAGGCUGCAACUCGCCUACAUGAAGUCGGAAUCGCUAGUAAUCGCGGAUCAGCAUGCCGCGGUGAAUACGUUCCCGGGCCUUGUACACACCGCCCGUCACACCAUGAGAGUUUGUAACACCCAAAGUCGGUGGGGUAACCUUUUAGGAACCAGCCGCCUAAGGUGGGACAGAUGAUUAGGGUA